rnacentral:rRNA from 1 species
AGUGAACGCUGGCGGUAGGCCUAACACAUGCAAGUCGAACGGCAGCAUGGUAUGAGCUUGCUCUUACGGGUGGCGAGUGGCGGACGGGUGAGGAAUGCAUAGGAAUCUACCUUUUCGGGGGGGGUAAAGUAGGCAAAAUUACGCCUAUAACCCAGUAGACCUACGGGAGAGAGCAGGGGCUCUUCGGACCUUACGCGACUGUAUGAGCCGAUGUCGGAUUAGUUAGUUGGCGGGGUAAUGACCCACCAAGGCGACGACCCGUAGCUGGUCGGAGAGGAUGAUUGGCCACACUGGAACUGAGACACGGUCCAGACACCUACGGGAGGCAGGAGGGGGUAAGAUAGAACAAUGGGCGCAAGCCUGACCCAGCCAGCCAGCGUGGGUGAAGAAGGCCUGCGGGUUGUAAAGCAAUUUUGUUGGGAAAGAAAAGAAGCAGGUUAAUACCCCGCUGUUCGGACGUUACCCAAAGAAUAAGCACCGGCUAACUUCGU